UACGUAGGGGGCUAGCGUUGUCCGGAAUCAUUGGGCGUAAAGCGCGUGUAGGCGGCCCGGUAAGUCCGCUGUGAAAGUCGGGGGCUCAACCCUCGGAUGCCGGUGGAUACUGUCGGGCUCGAGUACGGAAGAGGCGAGUGGAAUUCCUGGUGUAGCGGUGAAAUGCGCAGAUAUCAGGAAGAACACCUAUGGCGAAGGCAGCUCUCUGGGACGGUACUGACGCUGAGACGCGAAAGCGUGGGGAGCGAACAGG
rnacentral:rRNA from 1 species